AACCAUAAAUUAAUAAAAAACAAACCAAAAAGAGGAAACCUAAAAAAUAUCUACCCCAGUCAAUGUAAGAACUGCUGGAUACCACUAAAUUCUUGAGUUGUCGUUUCAAAAUCCCAUCCGUUCUUAUCAGUAGCAGUUUCCAAAAACCAAAAUAAUCUAUACCUGCUACCAUCCUUUGAUAAUCUAUUUCCCUCAAAAACUCUUUCAGUCUGGGUUCCUUUGCCAGUGCCUCCCAGAAGCAAACUCGUGCCGAUUCAAAUCUUCUCCCAUCAGGUAAGUGGACUCCCUUCCAACAAGCGCAGUUUUUGCUAUUCUAUGUGCUUAUGAGUUCCCCGAUCUGUGAAUAUGCUGAAAAAUAAUCUCUUGAAAACACCUUUUUCUGUUCUGGAUGUCAUUGAUAAUGGCUCCAAUCACUGAUUUAUCCGGUGAAGUCGUUUGGGAUUUCUUAAUAAUUGUUUUAGAGUCUCCCAUGAUUGUUGCCGAUUGUAAACCUAGUGAAAUACCUAAUUUUAUACCCUCUAAACAUGCAUGUGCUUCUGCUGCAAAUGAGGAGGAAAUAUUGUUGUGAAUGAUGGACUUUAAGGCCAUGAGAUUCCCCGUCAUAUCGCGAACCACCAGACCCGUCGCAGAUGUGAAGCUACUACUAUCAAAUGCUCCAUCAAAAUAGAUCCUCGUUCUCGGCAUGUCUUCUUAGACUCUAAAAGGUCUGUUCAUAUUUACAGGUCUUUUCAUUUUUCUGACCACUUCAUGUUCUGACAGAGACCUCUGUAUGCUUUGCGCUAACUCUCUAUUGGUUGUGUUUUUCCUUUCAUGCACGAACUGAUUCCUGGAGAACCAUAUUAGCCAUAAAGUAUAACAAAAAAUUCUACAUUGGAUGUCGUUUCCUCUCUUAAAAACCCAGUUGCAGGACAGUCACGGAAGAAAUGGGGGCUAUCUUCUACCCAGGAACAACCUCGGCGGCAUCCAUCAUUUGAAAUUACUCUUUUGUACUGGAGAUUAGCAAAAUUCGGGAUAAAAUCCCUGGAGAUUCUCCAAAUAGUGAUUGUAAUUUUAGGGGGUAAUUGUAGGCUCCAUAACUUUCUGUAAAAGUCUUUCAUUUCGGUCUGUAAUAAAUAAUUCCUAGAACCCAGGCUAGCAUUAUAAGCACUGCGUACCGUGAAUUCACCCGAUAACUCUCCUUGCCAAACUUACGUGCCUUCAUGAUCGGUCUCUGCGAGAGGGAUCUGCAAAAUCUUCUGAGCAGCUUCCUCUUAAAAGAAUCCAGCUAUCUUCCCAUAUAGAGAUCUUAUCUCCUCUGCCCACUCUCCAACCCAGCCCUUUUAGGAGUAGUCCCCUUGCUGUCCAAAUACUCUUCCAGGUGAGUGAAGGUUUGAAGGUCAGAACUCAGACGACAGACUCCACUUGCAAAAAUAAAGCGAUGAAGAAUCCCUUAAAUUGAACAAGAAAAAAACAGACAAAAAAACUAAGAUUAAACUUAAAAAACCAAAUGACUCAUGCUAGCGGCGGCAGACACAUUUGUGCUAGGGUAGCAGACCUAUUAAUUUGUAGUUUUGUUGAAACUAUUUUUAAUACAUCAAAUCCAAGCUUUCAUAUAGUAGAUAUACUAAA